rnacentral:rRNA from 1 species
GGUAAAAAAGCUCGUAGUUGGAUUUCUACCGAAGAUAGCCGGUCGGGUCUUCGACCUUGUAUCUGGUUUUGUCUUUGGUAUCCUCAUGGGGAACGUUGCUGCGCUUCAUUGCGUGGUGCGGUAUCCAUGACUUUUACUUUGAGGAAAUUAGAGUGUUCACGGCAGGCAAACGCCCUGAAUAUAUUAGCAUGGAAUAAUAACAUAGGAUCUUCGUCCUAUUUUGUUGGUUUCUAGGGCUAAGAUAAUGAUUAAUAGGGAUAAUUGGGGGCAUCUGUAUCAACGCGUCAGAGGUGGAAUUCUUGGAUUGCGUUGCGACAAACUACUGCGAAAGCAUUUGCCAAGGAUGUUUUCAUUGAUCAAGAACGAAAGUAAGGGGAUCGAAGAUGAUUAGAUACCAUCGUAGUCUUUACCAUAAACUAUGCCAACUAGGGAUCGGCGGUCGUUCUUUCUAUGACUCCGUCGGCACCUUAUGAGAUAUCAAAGUUUUUGGGUUCCGGGGGGAGUAUGGUCGCAAGGCUGAAACUUAAAGGAAUUGACGGAAGGGCACCACCAGGAGUGGAGCCUGCGGCUUAAUUUGACUCAACACGGGAAAACUCACCAGGUCCAGACAAAAAUAGGAUUGACAGAUUGAUAGCUCUUUCUUGAUUCUUUGGGUGGUGGUGCAUGGCCGUUCUUAGUUGGUGGAGUGAUUUGUCUGCUUAAUUGCGUUA